GUGUGGAUGCGAUUAUUUAUAAUUCUUCCCUUUUAAUCUGAGCCGUCCAUCAUGAUUUAAUCUGGACCGUCCGAUCGCGAUUAAAUUAGAAAUAAAUUUGGACCGUCCAUCGCGAUGCGAUCUGGACCGUCCCUGCGUGAUCAAAUCUGGACCGUCCGCACGCGUGAGAUCUGGGCCGUCCACGCGCUCCUUUGAUCUGGGUCGUCAGUGCGCGCGGGAACGGAUCUGGGCCGUCCGAUCGCGCGCAAACGGAUCGCCCACGUGUCUCCGUCCCGCGUGGCUUCCCGCGUCAGCGUCCCUGCCACGCGGCGUGUCCUGGUUGGUCGGAACUGCUGACGCGGCUGCUGACAUGGCACUAUUU
rnacentral:lncRNA from 1 species